rnacentral:rRNA from 1 species
ACCGUAAAAGUGAAGAAAUUUUAGUUUUAAUUAUGAAGUUUUGAGGUGAAAAGAAAAGUUUUCUUUUGAGGUAAAAUUGAAAGCAAGUAAUUUUUUCAAAAUUGGAACUUUAAAAAUUUUUGAAUGAGACUAGGAUUAGAUACCCUAUUAUUAUUAAAAAAAAAGAAAUUAGGUAGUAUUGGAAGACUUGAAACUUAAAGAAUUUGGCGGUGUUUUAAUCCUAUCAGAGGAACUUGCGUUAUAAAUCGAAAUUACUCGUUUUAUCUUACUUAAAUUUUGUUUGUAUAUCGUCGUAAAAAUAAAACUUUUAAGUGGAUAUUAAAAUUUAUUUAAUGAAAAAUUACAGAUCAAGGUUCAGCUAUAUUUAAGAAAACGUGAGUUACAUUGUUUUAGAAACAAAUGAAUAAUUUCUUGAAAAGAGAUUUGAAGGUGGAUUUGAAAGUAUGUUAGAAAUAAAAAUUC